CUUUCAAGCUCAGCUCGCGAGCACUCAAAUUAACCAAACGGCAGCAUCCAGCUGAAAAAGUGCCGUGUGCUCGGAUCAGUGGCAAAGCUGCCUACCCCGCUUCAAAACGAGCCUCGCAAGAAAUUUUUUGUCUUCAUUUUCCAACAUGUCAGAAGAGUCAGGCAAUUUUCCCCCCGGAAUUUCCCGUUUCAGUCUCGCCAGGUAGUGCGCACAAUUUUUAAAAUCGCAUGCUAAAAGCCUGCUUUCAAAAGCUUUUGUGGAGCACUUUAAGUGAAGGGGGGCCGCGAACCCGGCUCAAGAUCAGCACCUCCUGCCUGCCUUCGGCAAGGGGCCGCGAGAGGUUUCUCGCACAGGGCUCAUCGGCACCCCCGGGCCCGGACACGCCGCUGCCGGGGUCCCGAGCCCCCCCGUGCUUGCUCCCCCGCCCCAGCGCCGGACCCCAGGCGGGCGGCAGCGCCGGCGCAGCGCCCCCACCAGGGAGCUAGCACCAGACACAGAAUUUCAUCAAGCUUCUGCUUUAAGAUACGGGUUUGAAAGACCAUUGCCGCUCUCAACUUGAAGUGAUGCUUGCAUGCCAAGAGAAGAAUGUAUUGACACCAUUAAGAGAUAAGCCUCUGGUCACCUCGUCAUGCGAACAGCUCUGUCCAUGCUAAUUACUGUUUGGCCUCUUGAUGAAGAUUUCGAUGCUGCCAAGGCAGUAGCCCUUGCUGUGCGGAUCCAGGGCAGUAACAGAACAGCAGACAGUAGCAGGUACCCUAGGAAAAUAUGGAAGCAGAAGGACCAAGGCAUGCCAACCACAGGCUCAUACCUCAAUACCUCUUUGCGAAGGUAAGCACCCCAGCAAGCACUUCAAAGUUCAGAAGUAAUGUUGACAUUCUGGAGGUGGAAACAGGUAGAAAGAUGCUUACAUAGCAAAUCCCUCUCUCAGACAAAGAGCAAGACAAGCUGAGGAGGAAAACUGGGAAGUCAUAGGCAGAAGAGAGGUAAAUCCAAACACUAAAGGUGAACAAGAAAAAAGCAGAGGCAGGACACACUUAGUAAGAAAUAAGGAGAGCCAGCAGCUGGUUUGACACGAAAUAAGAACUGUCUGAAUAAAACUGCAUUGGUUGUGUGCUGCACAGCUCCAAGACAUUUGUAUCACCAAAUUCCUGAAUGCAUUUUGGUUAAGGUAGGAAAAUGUAGAUUUUUCUAAUGAGUCCUUUCAUUCCCAGCUUAGCAAUUCUCACUAGUUUACCACAUAGCUGCUUUCUAAAUGUCCUGUCACCAGAAUCCCAUUUGUCUCUUGUAACUCAUGCCCAUGGCCACCUGAUUAUCAGACAUCACUUACGAUGCACCUGCUAGCAGUCCAGGCAGAGGACGAGAGUGACCACCACUUCUGCCACAGAGUAUCUUUCUGGAACAUCAUUGGGAAGCUUGCACUUCUCCUGCUCAUAAGUGGCCUUGGCCUCUGUGGUGACAGGACUUCACUUUUAGCUGCCAACUUCCCAUCUUCCAUCAGUGCAGCAGUUACUGGAAAGAUGCAAAAAAGUCUUGAAGUGUUACUCUAAUAGGAAGUGUGGGAGGCAAAAAAAUAAAAAAAAAGGUCAGAGCCCCACUUUCACUCACCAGUUUAUAAAUACUGGUCCCUUUGUACAUGUGAAUUUUUGAAGUGCAAGCACAUGAAUGGCUGGGGGGCACAGGGAGGAAGUAGUAUUUUCCUAUGUUUAGUCUUACCUUGUAGUCAAAUCAUUUCUUUGCUAUUUCAUGCAAAUUGCUUUCCUUUUGUCUCUUUGCUAUGAGGAUCAGCAGAAUCUAUUUAUUACAUAGACACAAAAAUUAGGCAGAAGAAAAACUUUUAAAAAUAUUUUAUUUCUUAAUACAGAUAUAAUAUUUUUCCAAGGUCACUUAAUCUUAAGUGGCAUACAGGCUAUUAAAAUGGAAGUGCCCAUACAGUCAUUUCAGGUUAAAUGUAUACAACAUAUUCUAUCAUACAACAACUGCAUUUAAAGUUUUUCUUGCUCCAGAAUGAUUUGGCAGCUUCAAAAAUCUAACAUAUCUUUCCAUUUUCAAAACCAAUUAACUGAACAACAAAAACAAUAUUCAUUUCUCAGAUGGGAUCCAUCCUGACCAUCAAACAACAUGCUUAUUUCAGUAAGGACCUCUUAGCAGAUCUGGAUGUAGCACUUGCAGAGCUGUCUUUAUCAUGACCUUCGAAGUACUGCUGCUCUAUUCGUCUACAAAAGGCUAUGAGAUUACUGUAGUUUUUCACUUUUUCAGAGAGUUCAUCGCUGGUUAGUUGAGUAGUAAGGAUUGUGAAGAGAUGUCCAAAUACCAGAGCAUCUAAUUCAGUUGGUCUGUAAAAAAACAACAAAGAACAGGUAUUUUGGAAGCCAAGUCCUGAUAAAGAAAAACCCUGCUGUUUUGAAUAACUUUUAGAUAGCCACAUAAUCUAAGAAUUGGGAAGUAAUCAAGCAUUAAACUUUGUAUUCAGUAUAUUACCAUACUGCUAAUUCUCAGUACAAUAUCUUUCUUAAAGUCAUUUCUGGUAGCUUAGAAAUGUGAGAACAGCACUUCUAAGAAGGGGCACAGUUACGGAUCCACUAUGAGCUGUGUUCCAACCUCUGAGCUCUGUAGCAAGGUAAAAUGCUUAUAAGGUCUGGGUCAUGUCCCCCUGCCCCUGGUUCCCUUACAGAUGUGAAUAAUAAACCCAAACCUUAUCUUGCAAAACCAAAGAGGAAGGGGAAAAAAUGCAUAAAACGUCCUCCUUGUGCUUAUCGACAUUCAAGAAUCAUUUAAACAACAGGAAAAAGGAGCUCCAGGAUGAAAGCAGCUAGAACCCUCUCUUUUAUGAAAAAUGACUAAGCAGAUAUUUUAAUUUUUGUUCCAUAAAGGAACAGUUGUUUAUCAAAUGUCUUCAGUCCUACCUUAUUUUAGGUACAAACCUUCUGUAUUGGAAUGUCAGACCUUUGCAUCUAAGCAGUCCAUAGACAAACAAAAAGUUCUUUUUCAAAUAUAUUAACAACUUCACUAGUGCAAAAGGCAAGCAGCAGGACGGCUUUCUAAGAAAUUUUUAGCCUUUCCCUUUGUAGGCCCCUAAUAAUUCUGCAGUGGAGAUGUGUACCCUUGUAUAGCAAAUUUAAAUCUGUUGGGAACAGGCUGCUUUUCUUAUGUACCUCCUACACACUCCCAGAGGUCACAGUCUGAAAAACACUGGACUACGAACACACAGUUUCUUGGUAAUAUUUCAGACAGUUGAAAGGCAUAAAGGCUGAAAAUGUACCAAGGAAGCCUGGCUAACAAACAAUUAAAAACAAAAACCUCAACCUAUUUUCUUUAAAAAUAAAUAAAGAAAAUUUAGAAGAUA